rnacentral:rRNA from 1 species
GCAUAAUCAUUUGUCUCUUAAUUAGAGACUUGUAUGAAUGGAUAAACGAAGGCCCUACUGUGUCUAGAGUAAAAAUAAAAAUUAUUAUUUAGGUGAAGAAACCUAAAUUGAUAAAAAAGACAAGAAGACCCUAUUGAGCUUUACUCUUACUAAAUGUAAAUUAUACUUCUAAAUAAUUAUAACUUUUUCAGAGUUUGGUUGGGGCGACCAAGGAAUUUAUAUUUCUUCCUUUUCUAUAAGGUAAAUACACCAAAUUAUGACCCUAAAAUAAGAUCAAAAGAAUAAGUUACCAUAGGGAUAACAGGCUAAUCUUUCUCAAGAGCCCAAAUUGACAGAAAGGA